GCUGUAGCUCAGUGGUUGAGCACCUGCUCUGCGUGCGGAAGGUCCCAGGUUCAAGUCCUACCAUCUUCA